GAUUUCGGGGGGUUUGGGACCCCUGUCCUGAGGAAAAACCGGGAUUUGGGGGGAAAACCCGGGAUUUGGGGGGAAAAAAACCGGGAUUUGGGGGGAAAACCCGGGAUUUGGGGGGGAAAAAAACCGGAAUUUGGGGAAAGAACCGGGAUUUGGGGGGGUUUGGAGGAAUUUCGGGGGGUUUGGGAGCCCUCUCCUGGGGAAAAAGUGGGAUUUGGGAGGGGAAAAAUCGGAUUUGGGGGGAAAAAUCGGGAUUUGGGAGAAAAAUUCCGGGAUUUGGGGGGAAAACCGGGAUUUGGGGGGGUUUGGGAGGGUUUGGGAGCCCUUUCCUGGGGAAAAACCGGGAUUUGGGGGAAAAAUCUGAUUUGGGGGGGGAAAAUCGGGAUUUUGGGGACAGAAUCCCGGAAUUUGGGAAGAAAAUCCCAGGAUUUGGGGAGAAAAUCGCGGAGUUUGGGGGAAAAAAUCCCGGAAUUUGGGAGGAGAAUCCCUGAGUUUGGCGGGGGGAAACCACCGGAUUUAAGGUGAAAAACCGGGGAUGUGAGGGAAAAACUCGGGAUUUAGGGGGAAAAAACCGGGAAUUUGGGGAGAAAAACCUGGAAUUCAGGGGAAUAACCCGAAAUUUGUGGAAAAAUCCGGGAUUUGGGGUGAAAAUCCCGGGAUUUGGGGUGAAAAUCCCGGGAUUUAGGGGCAAAAAACCGGGAAUUUGUGAGGGAAACCCUCUGGAUUUGAGAGGAAAACUCCGGGAUUUGAGGAAAAAUGCGGAAUUUGGGAAAGUUUGGGAUAAUUUUGGAGGAAUUUUGGGGAGUUUGGGCGGAUUUUUGGGGGGGAUUUUUGAGGUUCGGGGGGAUUUUUGGGGCGGUUUUGGGGCUUUUGGAGAGUUUUUGUGUUGUUUUAAGAGGGAUUGAGAGAGAUUUCCGAGGAUUUCAUGGAAUUUGUUUUGGAAUUUGGGGGAUUUUGGAGGUUUUUUUGAGGGAUUUGAGGGAAUUUUGGGGGGAUUUUGGGUGAUUUUGAAGGGUUUUUGUGGGGGGAAAAACGCAAAGAGGGAUUUGCUGAUAACGGAGAUCAAUCAAGGGGGAUGGAUAUCGGGGAUUUAUAUCGGGAUCGAUAUCGGGAUCGAUAUUUCGGAUCGAUAUCGGGAUCGAUAUCGGGAAUCGAUCCCGGCCGUUCCCGCCUUCCCCACACGCGCCGGAACCGGAAAUACGUCACGCCGACUUCCGGCGUGGUGGCUCCAAGAUGGCGGCGCUGGCGCUGAGGGGUUUGGGGCGGCGCUGCCUCCUGGCCCGGCUGGGGCCCGGCCCCACCCUGCACCAGUGAGUGACUGGGAAUGGACUGGAAUGGACUGGGCUGGACUGGGAUGGACUGGAAUGGACUGGGAUGGACUGGGCUGGACUGGGAUGGACUGGGAUGGACUGGGAUGGACUGGGCUGGACUGGGAUGGACUAGGAUGGGAUUUGGGAUGGACUGGGAUGGACUGGGAUGGACUGGGAGGGACUGGGAUGGGCUGGGAUGGACUGGGAUGGACUGGGCUGGACUGGGAUGGACUGGGAGGGACUGGGAUGGGCUGGAAGGCCGAGGU
rnacentral:lncRNA from 1 species